UCCGGGACGCCUCCGCCUGGACCUGAGGCCGAACGCUCCUCACCUGGUCGUUCUGCCGGUACCUGCAGCACCGGACAGCUGGGUGCUGAUCUUUGACUUGAGACGGAGACGCUUCCUGUGUGUGGACCUAAAGGGACAAGGCUACAAGUCUAGACAGAAGGACAGAGGACACUGUCUCUUCCGACAUAUUUGGUUCCGGCAGGCUGAGCGACAUGACCCGUUUUCCUCUGUGAGCAGGAGCUGGCUGGUCAAACUGGGGGUUGGCGGGCCAGGAGCGGUCCGUGGGGGGCCACCGGACGGCCGGUCAGUGAAGAGGCAGAGAAGGAGCGAGGAGGUGAAUCCGUCCGAUCCUCUGAGGACAGAGUCCCAUCCGUCUCCUCCUGUGAAGGAUGUGGAGCCAAACCAGGCGGGCGCCGUUUCCAAGGAAACCAUCACUUCCUGUGACGAUCCCCUGCGGGUGCUGAGGCCCAACGGACACGGCAGUCCAGUCAAGACGAACAUCGCAGAGCGAGCAGAGCAGGAGUGACGUCCUGCAGCUGCUGGUUGUCAAGAAGCAAAGAAAAAAAGGCUGACGCUGCAGAGCAACGGGCAACACUAGAUCUGUCCCAAGUGGGACCAAAUGGGAGCAAACAGGAUCAAAUGGGACCAAGUGGGACCAAAUGGGAUCAAGUGGGACCAAAUGGGACCAAGUGGGACCAAAUGGGAUCAAGUG